rnacentral:rRNA from 1 species
CCCUUAGAUGUUCGGGGCCGCACGCGCGCUACACUGAAGGACUCAGCGUGUCUCUCCCCCUAUCCCGAAAGGGAUGGGCAACCCGUUGAACCUCCUUCGUGCUAGGGAUUGGGGUUUGCAAUUAUCCCCCAUGAACGAGGAAUUCCCAGUAAGCGCGAGUCAUCAGCUCGCGUUGAUUACGUCCCUGCCCUUUGUACACACCGCCCGUCGCUACUACCGAUUGGAUGGUUUAGUGAGACCCUCGGAUCGGUCCCGACUCGGGGUGGGCUUCUGCCCCGGUCGUGGUUUCGCCGAGAAGACGGUCAAACUUGACUAUCUAGAGGAAGUAGAAGUCGUAACA